GUCUCUUUGCCAACAUGAUAUAACACAGUCAAACACAGCAAGCGUGAAUGUCUCUGGACUCGGCCUACCACCACCCAAGGGGCAUUAUGCCGAGCCCGAGUCAAUGUGGGGAAGGAGGGGGACUGCGCCAUGUUAUGUUACCGGCGAGUCCCGACUACCACCAUCCAUGAUUUGUUAAUGAUCCUUCCGCAGGUUCACCUACGGAAA
rnacentral:misc_RNA from 1 species